rnacentral:rRNA from 1 species
CGCGUAGGCGGUUUGAUAAGUCAGAUGUGAAAGCCCACGGCUUAACUGUGGAAGUGCAUUUGAAACUGUCAGACUUGAGUAUCAGAGGGGAAAGUGGAAUUCCCGGUGUAGAGGUGAAAUUCGUAGAUAUCGGGAGGAAUACCGGUGGCGAAGGCGACUUUCUGGCUGAAUACUGACGCUGAGGCGCGAAAGCGUGGGGAGCAAAACA